AGCUAGAACCAGCAUCUGCAAACAACCAAACUGAAUGGAUGGGGAGAGAGCAUAGCUAGCGCAGCAGUAUGCCAACACAUGAUGGAGUGUGUGAACUUUCACCAGCAGAGACACAAGUGUGCAAAAGUAACUCUAUAAGUCAAAACAUGGAAACCAGAGCAAGGGUGAAAUGCAGUAGAAGCUCUUCAUCUUCCAUCUGAAUGCAAUGCAAUAAUGGAGAAGCGCAAAGGAGAGGGAGGAAGAUUGCCUCGCUAUUCAGG